AUUUUUUCGAUUGGAUUCGGUUUUACUUAGCUGUAAAUUAAAAGGGAAUCGUGUGUAAAUCACGAACUGUCGCGCAACUGUAAGUAACAUUUAAAAGGUUUUAUCCAAGUGCUCCACUGCUAAAAGCGGGAAGGACGAUAAAAACUGUUACAAGUCAGGAUACCUGCCUAAUCCGUAUAGACAAU
rnacentral:ncRNA from 2 species